GGCAGCUUUGUUUAGUGGAUAAAGGCCUGUGGUGUUACUCCUGAGGUCUGGACAUCCCACACUGGCUCUUGGGGACUUCUCAGCAAUCACGUCUGACUUCCUGCUUCUCAGUGAGGAAACUGAGAACUACUUUUCUCUUUAAUUGGAAAUAAGCCCUCAUGAAACUGCCUUCUUUGCCCCAGAUGGCUGUGCCCGGGGGUUCUUGCUAUUAUCCUCAGAGAUCUGGCAGCAGCAAUGAUGCAGCUGUGGUUGAAAUGAAAAUAAUAUGGUACAGAACCGCACAGCAAAGAUG